UUAAAGUAGAUUUCUUUCCUCUGUGUGUGU
rnacentral:piRNA from 1 species